UCAGUUAUCGUUUAUUUGAUAGUACCUUUACCUGGAUAACCGUGGUAAUUCUAGAGCUAAUACAUGCUAAAAACCUCGACUUCGGAAGGGGUGUAUUUAUUAGAUAAAAAACCAAUGCCCUUCGGGGCUCCUUGGUGAUUCAUAAUAACUUAACGAAUCGCAUGGCCUUGCGCCGGCGAUGGUUCAUUCAAAUUUCUGCCCUAUCAACUUUCGAUGGUAGGAUAGUGGCCUACCAUGGUCUUAACGGGUAACGGGGAAUUAGGGUUCUAUUCCGGAGAGGGAGCCUGAGAAACGGCUACCACAUCCAAGGAAGGCAGCAGGCGCGCAAAUUACCCAAUCCCAAUACGGGGAGGUAGUGACAAUAAAUACUGAUACGGGGCUCUUUCGGGUCUCGUAAUUGGAAUGAGUACAAUCUAAAUCCCUUAACGAGGAACAAUUGGAGGGCAAGUCUGGUGCCAGCAGCCGCGGUAAUUCCAGCUCCAAUAGCGUAUAUUAAAGUUGUUGCCGUUAAAAAGCUCGUAGUUGAACCUUGGACCUGGCUGAUCUGUCCUCCUAAUCGAGCGCACGGAUUCGGUCGGGUCUUUCCUUCUGGGGAGCCCUAUGCCCUUCACUGGGUGUAGUGGGGAACCAGGACUUUUACCUUGAAAAAAUUAGAGUGUUCAAAGCAGGCCUUUGCUCGAAUACAUUAGCAUGGAAUAAUAGAAUAGGACAUCGGUUCUAUUUUGUUGGUUUCUAGGACCGCUGUAAUGAUUAAUAGGGAUAGUCGGGGGCGUCAGUAUUCAAUUGUCAGAGGUGAAAUUCUUGGAUUUAUUGAAGACUAACUACUGCGAAAGCAUUCGCCAAGGAUGUUUUCAUUAAUCAGUGAACGAAAGUUAGGGGAUCGAAGACGAUCAGAUACCGUCGUAGUCUUAACCAUAAACUAUGCCGACUAGGGAUCGGACGG
rnacentral:rRNA from 1 species